CAGCCGCCGCGGUAAUACGGAGGGUGCAAGCGUUAAUCGGAAUUACUGGGCGUAAAGCGCACGCAGGCGGUUUGUUAAGUCAGAUGUGAAAUCCCCGGGCUCAACCUGGGAACUGCAUUUGAAACUGGCAAGCUAGAGUCUCGUAGAGGGGGGUAGAAUUCCAGGUGUAGCGGUGAAAUGCGUAGAGAUCUGGAGGAAUACCGGUGGCGAAGGCGGCCCCCUGGACGAAGACUGACGCUCAGGUGCGAAAGCGUGGGGAGCAAACAGGAUUAGAUACCCCAGUAGUCCCUGUCUCUUAUAC
rnacentral:rRNA from 1 species